ACCUCUCAGCUUCUACGGUAGGGUAUUGGCGGACCGCGGCAACGACGGGUAAUGGGGAGGUAGGGUUGGAUUCUUGAGAGGGAGCAUCAGAAAAGGCUACCACAUCUUAGGAAGGCAGCAGGCGGGCAAAUUACCCAAUCAUAAUACAGGGAGGUAGUGACAAGAAAUAACAACACAGGACUUUUUGGUUUUGUAAUAGGAGUGAGUUAAGUAUAAACCCCCCCACAAGUAUCAACAGGAGGGCAAGUAUUGUGCCAGCAGCCGCGGUAAUUCCAGCUCCUACAGCGUAUAUUAAAGAAGUUGCAGCUAAAAAAAUGGUAGUAGGAUUUCUUUUAAUAAUAAAUAUAAAAUAUUUUGAUGAAUAUUUAUAUAACAUUAACAUAAUUCAUAUUACUAUAUAUUUUAGUAUAUGAAAUUUUACUUUGAGAAAAUUAGAGUGCUUAAAGCAGGCAUAUGCCUUGAAUACUCCAGCAUGGAAUAAUAUUAAAGAUUUUUAUCUUUGAGAUUGGUCCUAAGUAUAAGAAUAAUGACAAUACUCACAGUGGGUCAAUAUCCC
rnacentral:rRNA from 1 species